rnacentral:rRNA from 1 species
CCUACGGGAGGCAGCAGUGGGGAAUAUUGCGCAAUGGGCGCAACCCUGACCCAGCAACGCCGCGUGAAGGAAGAAGGCUUUCGGGUUGUAAACUUCUUUUCUCAGGGAAGAAGAAAGUGACGGUACCUGAGGAAUAAGCCACGGCUAACUUCGUGCCAGCAGCCGCGGUAAUACGUAGGUGGCAAGCGUUAUCCGGAUUUACUGGGUGUAAAGGGCGUGUAGGCGGGACUGCAAGUCAGAUGUGAAAACCACGGGCUCAACCUGUGACCUGCAUUUGAAACUGUUAUUCUUGAGUACUGGAGAGGCAGGCGGAAUUCCUAGUGUAGCGGUGAAAUGCGUAGAGAUUAGGAGGAACACUAGUGGCGAAGGCGGUCUGCUAGACAGCAACUGACGCUGAGGCGCGAAAGCGUGGGGAGCAAACAGGAUUAGAUACCCCAGUAGUC